rnacentral:tRNA from 1 species
GCCCCGGUAGCAUAGUCCGGUAAUGCGCCCGCCUUGUAAGCGGGAGAACGUGGGUUCGAAUCCCACCCGGGGCU